ensembl:lncRNA
GAAAGAGAGAGAUUUUUCUCCCUGUGUAUGUGAAAGAGAGAUUUAUCUCCCUGUGUAUGAGAGAGAUUUAUCUCCCUGUGUAUGUGAAAGAGAGAGAUUUAUCUCCCUGUGUAUGUGAAAGAGAGAGAUUUAUCUCCCUGUGUAUGUGAGAUUUAUCUCCCUGUGUAUGUGAGAGAGAAAUGUAUCUCCCUGUGUAUGUGAAAGAGAGAGAUUUAUCUCCUGUAGAGAGAGAGAGAUUUAUCUCCCUGUGUAUGUGAAAGAGAGAUUUAUCUCCCUGUGUAUGUGAGAGAGAGAGAGAUGUAUCUCCCUGUGUAUGUGAGAGAGAGAGAGUCCUUGUAUAGGUUUUGUGCCUGUGGUCAGUUGAAUAUGUGCAUUGUUAACAAGUCAGCCUAACAAUACGAUGACUAGGUUUCCAUAGAACCAAUGAUGGAGAAGAUGGGGAGAUUACAGGACUGUGGUCUGACACGGCCUGCAUCGUCUCAAAUGGCAUCCCAUUCCCUAUGUAGUGCACUACUUUUGACCAAGAGCCCCAGAAAUAGUGCACUAUAAAGGGAAUAGGGUACCAUUUGGGACGCCACAUGGAUGCUUCAAGCUGUCCCAGAUCAGUUACUAUUAUACCUCGCGUGUCAUUACCAAACACUGUAAUCACAUGGCUCUCCCUUUUCAAUGUCUGAGAUGUACUGUAAUUCAGUGGUAGGCUAUGGUGCGUUCAACAAGGCAGAGAGGGAAAGAGUGAGAGAGAAAGAGAGAGGUAAAGAGAGUGAGAGGUAAAGAGAGAGGGAAAGAGAGUGGGAGGUAAAGAGAGAGGGAAAGAGAGUGAGAGGGCAAGAGAGUGAGGGAAAGAGAGUGGGAGGUAAAGAGAGAGGGAAAGAGAGUGAGAGGUAAAGAGAGUGGGAG